UUUCCAUUUACUGCUCUACCUACUCGAAUUGCUGCUUUUGCUUCCUUCCUUGGUGACAGAAGAGGACGAGGCUGAAGAGCCUGGCUCGAUGUUUUGGAUCCGAGGCGCGGAGGGGAAAAAAUUUGGGAAGGCGAGAUGACGCGCUAUCCGUCUUAGUCGCUCCGGCGGGCACGUGAUCCAAAGUAGAUAUUGUCAUAUAUCAGUUUGGAGCACUUAGAUGCGUAGGAGUGGUUCACUUAGCAGCUAGCACCUAGAUGUAUUUCCCUCCGAUAACCAUUGAUCAAAGGCGAAUCUCAACAGUUUAUGGGGAUAAACUUCAAUUAUUCGCAGUUGAGGGCGCGACGGCGCUGGGCUCUCUCUUCCAUCCCCGCAUUAAUCAGAAGAAAAUGAAGCAAAAUCCUUCAGCUGUUUCACGGGGUGACAUUUUCCAAACGUCUUAUGCAGCUUUUGGAAGAUAAAUGCUGCCG